rnacentral:rRNA from 1 species
GACGAACGCUGGCGGCGUGCUUAACACAUGCAAGUCGAACGGAAAGGCCCUGCUUUUGUGGGGUGCUCGAGUGGCGAACGGGUGAGUAACACGUGAGUAACCUGCCCUUGACUUUGGUAUAACUUCAGGAAACUGGGGCUAAUACCGGAUAGGAGCUCCUGCUGCAUGGUGGGGGUUGGAAAGUUUCGGCGGUUGGGGAUGGACUCGCGGCUUAUCAGCUUGUUGGUGGGGUAGUGGCUUACCAAGGCUUUGACGGGUAGCCGGCCUGAGAGGGUGACCGGCGACAUUGGGACUGAGAUACGGCCCAGACUCCUACGGGAGGCAGCAGUGGGGAAUAUUGCACAGUGGGCGGAAGCCUGAUGCAGCAACGCCGCGUGCGGGAUGACGGCCUUCGGGUUGUAAACCGCUUUCGCCUGUGACGAAGCGUGAGUGACGGUAAUGGGUAAAGAAGCACCGGCUAACUACGUG